UUGGAUCACCUCCUAACAGGGAGACAACACAAUGAUUUUGAUGCCUGAGUAUUUUUAUUCUUAGGCCGAAAUCCUGUCACCUUAGGUCGAUCGGUACCUCAGCUUUUGAAGUUAAGAAUCAGCAGCAAUGUUGAUUGCUUGAUGGAGAUUUUCAGUUCCUAAACUUUGUCUAGGUCACACCCCAAAAGGGAUGAGACUCCUGGGCCAUUAGCUCAGGUGGUUAGAGCGCACCCCUGAUAAGGGUGAGGUCCCUGGUUCAAGUCCAGGAUGGCCCAUUCGGUGUUGGGGGUUUAGCUCAGUUGGUAGAGCGCCUGCUUUGCAAGCAGGAUGUCAGGAGUUCGAGUCUCCUAACCUCCACUGACCGAACUUUAUCCCCGCUCCAUGUAAUGGAGUUGAGCUCGAUUGGAGUGUGAUUUAGAUUUGUCCGCUGGAAGACCCCAGCUUCCUGUCAUUCCAAAGACAAGUAAAAAGUUUACUUGUUGACUUUGGUUGAUAAGAUGCUGGGCUCAAAUGAGUUGAUCAAGCAAUUGAUCAAUUGAUUUGAAGUUCUAGCAGAACCUUGACAACUGCAUAGGUAAGUCUGGAAAGAAUAAAGCAUCUCAUGGAUGAUGCGAUGAUUCUUUUCUGUGAUCCGAAAGGAUGAUGGAGAAGGAGAGUUGCAAAUUCUAUCGAGCAAGAGCCGAGACUCCAUCACGUUCUUUUGAUUGUGUCGAGCAAUUAGGAGUUUGAUCUUUGAUUCAGCAAUGAAUCAGAGAGAAUCCGUUUCAACGACGGCAAGCGUGAUGGAGAUUAAUUGGUCAAGCUACAAAGGGCUCACGGUGGAUACCUUGGCACACAGAGGCGAUGAAGGA
rnacentral:tRNA from 1 species